AAUCUGAGGUGGUUUAUUUUGAUGGACAAAGUGCUCUGCUGUAUAGACUUGAUAAAAAACCUUUAAAACCAAUAAGAGACGUUAUUUCUUUGAAAUUUAAAGCCAUGCAGAGCAAUGGAAUUCUACUUCACAGAGAAGGACAACAUGGAAAUCACAUUACUCUGGAAUUAAUUAAAGGAAAGCUUGUCUUUUUUCUUAAUUCAGGCAAUGCUAAGCUGCCUUCCACUAUUGCUCCUGUGACCCUCACCCUGGGCAGCCUGCUGGACGACCAGCACUGGCAUUCCGUCCUCAUCGAGCUCCUCGACACGCAGGUCAACUUCACCGUGGACAAACACACUCAUCAUUUCCAAGCAAAGGGAGAUUCCAGUUACUUGGAUCUUAAUUUUGAGAUCAGCUUUGGGGGAAUUCCGACACCCGGAAGAUCGCGGGCAUUCAGACGUAAAAGCUUUCAUGGGUGUUUAGAAAAUCUUUAUUAUAAUGGAGUGGAUGUUACCGAAUUAGCCAAGAAACACAAACCACAGAUCCUCAUGAUGGGAAAUGUGUCCUUCUCAUGUCCACAGCCACAGACUGUCCCUGUGACUUUUCUGAGCUCCAGGAGUUAUCUGGCUCUGCCAGGCAACUCUGGGGAGGACAAAGUGUCUGUCACUUUUCAAUUUCGAACGUGGAACAGAGCAGGACAUUUGCUUUUCGGCGAACUUCGACGUGGUUCAGGGAGUUUCGUCCUCUUUCUUAAGGAUGGCAAGCUCAAACUGAGUCUCUUCCAGCCGGGACAGUCACCAAGGAAUGUCACAGCAGGUGCUGGAUUAAACGAUGGGCAGUGGCACUCUGUGUCCUUCUCUGCCAAGUGGAGCCAUAUGAAUGUGGUGGUGGACGAUGACACAGCUGUUCAGCCCCUGGUGGCUGUGCUCAUUGAUUCAGGUGACACCUAUUAUUUUGGAG
rnacentral:circRNA from 1 species